CUCAGCAUGGUAUAGUGGUUUGAAUGUUGGACUGUGACCCUGAAAACUAGGGUUCGAUUCCCUGCUCAGA